rnacentral:rRNA from 1 species
AUUGAACGCUGGCGGCAUGCCUUACACAUGCAAGUCGAACGGCAGCACGGGAGCAAUCCUGGUGGCGAGUGGCGAACGGGUGAGUAAAGUAUCGGAACGUGCCCAGUCGUGGGGGAUAACGUAGCGAAAGUUACGCUAAUACCGCAUACGAUCUAUGGAUGAAAGCGGGGGAUCGCAAGACCUCGCGCGAUUGGCGCGGCCGAUAUCAGAUUAGGUAGUUGGUGGGGUAAAGGCUCACCAAGCCGACGAUCUGUAGCUGGUCUGAGAGGACGACCAGCCACACUGGGACUGAGACACGGCGCAGACUCCUACGGGAGGCAGCAGUUGGGAAUUUUGGACAAUGGGCGCAAGCCUGAUCCAGCCAUGCCGCGUGCAGGAUGAAGGCCUUCGGGUUGUAAACUGCUUUUGUACGGAACGAAAAGGUUUGACUUAAUACGUUGGACUCAUGACGGUACCGUAAGAAUAAGCACCGGCUAACUACGUGCCAGCAGCCGCUGUAA